GGAGAUGUGGCUCGAGUGGUCGAAGGCAAUAGUCUGAAAAACUAUAACAUGUCACAGUGUCGUUAGUUCGAAUCUAACCGUCUCCG
rnacentral:tRNA from 1 species